GACGAACGCUGGCGGCGUGCUUAACACAUGCAAGUCGAACGGAAAGGCCCUGCUUUUGUGGGGUGCUCGAGUGGCGAACGGGUGAGUAACACGUGAGUAACCUGCCCUUGACUUUGGGAUAACUUCAGGAAACUGGGGCUAAUACCGGAUAGGAGCUCCUGCUGCAUGGUGGGGGUUGGAAAGUUUCGGCGGUUGGGGAUGGACUCGCGGCUUAUCAGCUUGUUGGUUGGGUAGUGGCUUACCAAGGCUUUGACGGGUAGCCGGCCUGAGAGGGUGACCGGCGACAUUGGGACUGCGAUACGGCCCAGACGCCUACGGGAGGCAGCAGGGGAGAAUAUUGCACAAUGGGCGGAAGCCUGAGGCAGCAACGCCGCGUGCGUGAUGACGGCCUUCGGGUGGUAAACCGCUUUCGCCGGUGACGAAGCGUGAGUGACGGUAAUGGGUAAAGAAGCACCGGCUAACUACGUG
rnacentral:rRNA from 1 species